GACACCCCAACCCAGAUGCUGUGGGGUUGGAAUGUGCACACCACUGUCAGUGGUGGGAGGAGGCAGGCACCGUCGGGUUCUGCCUGUGACGUGUUCCUCUCCCUGGGCUUCUCCUCUUGUUUGUUCCACGACCAUCUCCACCCCCCACUUCCUGGGAGCAUCUUCUCUCUUGAUGUUAGCGCCAGUAUUAGGAAAGGGCCUGAGACCAUCAUGGCCAAGUUGCAUGUGCGAAAGCAUCAUGGACAAAGCCACUGGCCUUGCAAAGGGGUGAGUUGUACAAAGUCCUGCAAAGAGCAUGUUGGUUGUCACCAGCGAACAGGUGCAGAGAAGCCCAGACAGCACCCAAUGCCCGUCUGAGGGCCAUGUCCGAGCCACACACCCAUCCUCCCUGGGGGUGGACAGUCCUGUGCUGAGGUAGACACUCCAAACACCACCCACCCUCCCUGGGAGUGGACAGUCCCAUGCCGAGGUAGACACUCCAGCCGCCACCCAUCCUCCCUGGGAGUGGACACUCCCGUGCCGAGGUAGACACUCCAAACACCACCCACCCUCCCUGGAAGUGGACAGCCCCGUGCCGAGGCAGACACCCCAGCCACCACCCACCCUCCCUGGGGGUGGACAGUCCCGUGCCGAGGCAGACACCCCAGCCACCACCCACCCUCCCUGGGGGUGGACAGUCCCGUGCCGAGGCAGACACCCCAGCCGCCACCCACCCUCCCUGGGGGUGGACAGUCCCGUGCCGAGGCAGACACCCCAGCCGCCACCCACCCUCCCUGGGGGUGGACAGUCCCGUGCCGAAGGAGACGCUCCAACCACCACCCAUGCCAAGGUAGUGCCUGCACCUCUGCCUGGCACAGCAGCUUGGGGGCGGCUCUUCCCCCGCUGUGCCCUCUGUGGUGGGGGUGCCUCCUUGCUUCCUUUGAAGAGCUUUACUCCCUCAUGCUCUGUUGUAUGACUGGAGACAGAACUAAAACUAAAAGGAGGCAACAGAGGAGGAGUGCGGUGGGUUUGUUCUCUCUGCUCGUGAAGAACUCACAGGCGCUUCAGCAGGGCUGGGUCACGGUCACGUAGGGUCCUCUGGGUGAAACGGACCUUCUUAUGGAGCCUCCUGUGGGACACGCGUGAGGGGCUUAGGCCAGCGGCGUCUCAAGCUCAUUUUGAAGAACCGAGAUGUGACUCCAUUUCCCAACUGCAGCCCUUGAUCCUUGUAAUAAGGGGAAGCUGGGAUAGAACCUUGGCGUGGCAGAGUCUGGAAUGACGGACAGAGGUGUUGGUGUGGGUCUCUCCCUUUCGGGAGCGGCUGCCUUUUUCCACAAGAGUAGCCGUUCUCUCUCUCUCUGUGUCUCUGCUCCCCCCUCUCCUGUGUGUGUGCAUAUGCGUGCAUGUGCAUGUGUGUGCAUGUGUGUGUGCGCGUGUAUGUGUGUGCGUGUAUGUGUGUGCGUGCAUGUGCGUGUGCAUGUGUGUGUGCGUGUGUGUGUGCGCACGUGUGUGUGUCUUAAUUAGUUGCAUUGUUUGGGUUGCCCUAGAACAUUCUUAAAUCAUAGCCUGAGCAACUUCCAAACAAGCAAACACGGUGCCGCCCUCUUUCACACUCCCCCGACCUGGAUCCCCGAUCCUGAAUCCAAACUUCAUGACGUGUCUGAAGAUUGUUUUCAAGGCUGUUCUCUUGGUCUCUGUCCAGCACGUCUUCCCAUAAACUUAACUGAGCCCGGCAUUGGGAUGACAAAGAUUAAUAAAAUAGGAUUCUUUCCAGAGAAGCCCAUUUUCUGGUUGGAAAAGAUAUGACUACAAAGUAAUUAUAAUGUAAAUAAAUACACUAAAAGAAGCACAAAGAGUUACCAGAAUAGUUAAGUCAAAUGUCUUUUUUGGUUUUAAGUGAUCGAUAUGGCGGAGAGCAGCUGUGUGGAAUUCUGCCGCUCGGUGAGGAUGAGCGAUGCCUGGAGAACCUUCCACAUUUGGUCUUCUCUGUACUUGCCCACCCUCCCCUAGAGCCAUGCCUGGCUCUGAUAAAGUGCUACUUUAUAAAUUUUAGGUUAUUUGAAAGAAGCAAAAGGAACAAAUGACAGGGGAGGCAGGGAGGGACCAGCCUAACGGGGGUUCUGAGAGACACGGUCGCAAUGGCUCUGAGGCCUGUCAGCCUUGGGAGUUUCCAGCUGUGAGCAUGGUGCCCUGGCUUCUGUGUGUACUGAGAAAAGACAAUAUACAAAGUGAGGGACAGGGACAGAGCACGCUGCAGGGAAAGUUCCGUAGAGUUUCUAGGGAGCAGGGAGCACCUGGGACGCACAUCUGGGCUCCAGCAGCAGGGCUGAGACGGUGCCCUGAAGCUGCACCAGGGAUUCCCGGCAGAAGGCUCCGGCCCGUCCAGGCCGCCUCCAGCACCACCAUGCACUUCGUCCCGGCUUCCAGGAGCCCUGGCAGAAACGGAGCUCAGCUGCCAGUCUGGCGUCCUCGAACAUGCUGCGAGUGGCGUUGGUGCCCAUGGCUGUGAAAAUGGAAUCGUUGUCACCUCAUCCAGGACGUGCCUCACGAUCGUGCUGUCUCGUUGGUGGAGACGUUUGCCGUCUUCCGAAGCUUCUCUGCACCAGACCCUCUGAGAUGGCGCGCUUGCCCCAUGACCCCAACGCUUUGCUCUUCACGUCUCCUUUGACAAACCACUGUGACUUCAGAUUGCCGUUCACAUGGAAGCUCCACUUCACGGUUGGUGUUGUACUGUCUGGCUUUGUGGACGAGGACGCCCGCCGCCUUGGCUGCACCCUGGAAUGCCUUGCACUGGGCCCCGGCUGCACGUGCCUGCUCCGACCUGCUCCUGCUGUGAUCUAAACUGCUGGCUGGGCUGCCAGUUUUUCUAAUUAUCUUUUUCCUUUUCUUUGCAGGUUGUCUUAUAUUGAGAACAUUUUCUUAAUUUGUCACUGCAUUAAUGUCCACAUCUGGAAACUGACAAAAUUCACAAUAAUAGAUGACAAGAAGUUAUAUUACUCUGUAGACAUUGAUUUUGUCAUUUUGAAUUGAAAAUAUUGAAAACUGAAAUUAAACAUAUGGAAUACUGCACAUGGCUCAGGUUUCUUACUCAUGCAAAACAGCAUUGAGUGUUAUCAGUGCUACGUAU
rnacentral:lncRNA from 1 species